CACGGGGGGAGCAAGCGUUGUUCGGAUUCAUUGGGCGUAAAGGGCUCGUAGGCCGCUCUGUAAGUCGGAAGUGAAAGACCACGGCUCAACCGUGGAACCGCUUUCGAAACUGUGGAGCUUGAGGCCGGGAGAGGAGAUUGGAAUUCCUGGUGUAGCGGUGAAAUGCGUAGAUAUCAGGAGGAACACCAAUUGCGAAGGCAGCUCGCUGGGACGUAACUGACGCUGAGACGCGAAAGCGUGGGGAGCAAACAGG
rnacentral:rRNA from 1 species